AAUUGCAAUUUAUGACAUUUUAUUUCUUAAACUUUAAUCCAUUAUAAUUAUUGACUCGAUUUUUCAGAAUUACUGUAAUUAAGUUCAGCAAUUUAAUUUAGUUGACUAAAUUUAACGUAUCGUUAAUGUAAAAAUAAUAUGACAUUUUAAUUAUUUAUGCAUUAUCAAUCAUGACAUUAUUAUAUCACCUCUAUAUUGGCAAUAUCUUAAUAUUUAAUCAACUAAAUUAGGUUAUAGGAUUUGAUUGUAAUAUAUAAUUCUAAAAACUCGGGCAAAAAAUUAGAAUAAAUUAAAAUUUGAGGACGAAAGUAUCACUAGGUCCAUUAUAUUAAUAACACUUGAGAAAUUAUGUAAU
rnacentral:lncRNA from 1 species